rfam:Erysipelotrichaceae bacterium 3_1_53 genomic scaffold supercont1.16, whole genome shotgun sequence.
GACUCCUUAGCUCAGCUGGCAGAGCAACUGACUCUUAAUCAGUGGGUCCAGGGUUCGAUUCCCUGAGGGGUCA